AUCUUAGUUCCCUGACCAGGGAUUGAACUCACACCUCCUGCAUUGGAAGCGCAGUGUCUUAACCACUGGACCACCAGGUAAGUCCCCAUAGUGAAAGCUUAUUAUGUGCAACAGACCCCAGUGCUACACAGCCAGCCAACCACCACCUCAAAAAAAGAGACUGAUGUUUAUUCUUGGAGGUGAAAGGUAGAAAAUAGUUAAGCAAAAUUCAGAACAGUAGACCUCCAUUCCCCUUUCCUCACCUGUCCCCAGAACAGCAGCUUCCAAAUAGAUGAAUGCCAGGUAGAAGAUUGGAAAUUUCAUCUCAAGAGAGAGAAUGAUCUAGAGAAAAACUUGCACAAGCCCUGCUCACAAGACCCUAAUCUCGUCAGAGACCUCACUUUGAACCAUUGUUAUAAAACUCCUCAUCAAAUCCUCCCAGGUUGGGGGGAAAAAAAUAAGAAAAAACCUGCACAUACAGUUAUAUGUGUGUUCUCCAACACAAUGGCCAUAUCUCCCUACAAUUUGACAAAUCCUCUCAUACACUCACCCACAUAUACAGUUUCCAAUCAGUAUCUCUUAGUAUAAACAGAAAUCAAACAUCAGAAAUGAUGGAGCAAAACAAGCUAAAGUAAAGAAAAAAGUCAAUGUAGAGAAAAUUUUUUUAAUUAUUAGUAUCUUUAGAGAGAUAAGGGAAAGUAUUAUAAUUUAUAAAAUAAGAAAGAUUACUAUGAAAAGUAACUGUGAAAAAGUCUUGGAAAAUAAAAAUAUAUAACCAAAAUAAAUAGAACGGUUGGAAAACAAAGUUGAGAAGAAAACAACAACAAAGAUGGAAAAGAGAAGAAAAAAGACAGAAGACUUUAAAAGGAAACCAGGAGGUACAAAAUCAAAUAGGGGUCCAGAAAGAAAAGAACUGAAAAUAGGCAGAAAUUAUCAAAGAAGAAAUACAUGAAGAUUUCCCAGAACUGAAGGACAUGAGUCUUUCCACUGAAAGGGUCUACUUAGUGCUCAACAGUGUAAAAAAAGAUAAAACAAUCCAUACCAAGUCAUACCAUUUCAAAAUUUCAGAAUAUCAGAAAUAAAGAGAAGCCCUUAGAAGCUUUCAGGCUAUGGGUGUGGUGGUAGGAUUGGUGGUUAGAAUCACUGAGGAGGGAACAUGACUCAAAAUGGCACUGACCCGUGAGCCAUGGCUGCUGAGCCUGCACAUCCGGAACCUGUGCUCCGCAACGGGAGAGGCCACAGCAGUGAGAGGCCCGUGUACCGCAAAAAAAAAAAAAAAAAAAAAAAGAAAGAAAGAAAAUGGCACUGGCUUUUUAAAUGUAACAGGGGUUUUAGGACAUAAUGCCUUCAACUAUCUGAGGGAAAAAUUAUUUGUGUCCUAGAAGUUUACAACCAACUGAAUUAUCAGUCAUGUGUCCAGGUAAGGACUCAAAAAUUUGUGUAUCUGCCAUGCACCUCUCUUUAGGGAACUGCUGGAUAAUGCACUCCAGAGAAACAAGAAAAAGGAAGGCCCACAGGUGCAACAGCAAAUCCAAUACAGAAAAUUGUCAAGAGUGAGUUCUAAGGGAAUUCCCUGGUGGUCCAGUGGUGAGGACUUCACACUUUCACUGCCAAGGGCCCAGGUUCAAUCCCUGGUUGGGGAACUAAGAUCCCACAAGCUGCACAGCACGGCCAAAAACAAAAAAAGUGAGUUCUAAGACAAAGGGGUCUCCAAAGCCUGCUCCAUAUUGGAGUAAGAGGAAGCGGAGGCUUCAGAGAGCGAUCUCCAGGGUGGAGGAAAUGAAACAUUAUCUGGGAUGGUUGAGGCUUUGGGGGAAAAAAAACUGCUGGUAGUCAGACAACAACUCUAGUUGAGCAACUGAAAGGACAAUCAGUUAAUAGAAAACUAUACUGGUGGCGGAGGGGGGAAAUGAGGCAAUCACUGAGUCCAAAAAAUAAGAAUGAUGUUAGGAAAGAAAUAAGUAUGAAAUACUAUCUGACUCUUCAAUUUUACAUAGGCAAUAACAUAAACACUGAUUAAAAAUUGCAUUACAGGAUAAUGGAGGAAAGGAAAUGGGAGGUCGAGAAUGCUAAAUCAUCACCUGUGAUAAUAGAAUGUCAAUUCUAUUACCCAUUUCUUCCUUUUAGUGAGACCAACAUCUAUUCUAAUGGCAUAUGAUGCAGCCCAUGCUUUUAACAUUUUCCCAAGGGUUGAAGAAAAUUUUUCACUGAAAGAAGCUCUCUGGUUUUAUACCAUAGAAGUGUUCCCAGCCUACUUUGUGGGAGUAGAUUAAUCCUGCUUCUUUCCCCUGCUUCAGUUUUCAAAAAUGGUGAACAUGCUGACCACAAAUGGUGUAUCUCAAGAUUUUAUAUCUAAACCUGAAACUCUAAGGAAUAUUGUUAACCAUCCAUUCUCUUGGUGCAAAACUAUGGCCUUGAGCCACUUCCAUCACUAUCAAGUGGGGUACUUAUUACAAAUAAGCAAAUUUCUGGUCCCUAACCAGAUGUGCUGAAUCAGAAUUCCUGAAAAGGACCAAGGAAUAUCAUUUUUCCCAUUGACCCAGAUAGUUCUUUAUUCACACGAACAGAAUUAUAAUUUAGUAUUAUGUUGUUGGUUUUUGUUUUAUCAAAGGUCAGUGUGAGAUCCACACACAUAAAAUCUCUACCCGUUUGGUUUUUUUUUUUUAAUGCUAUUGAGGGCAUUGUGUAUUUUAUUAUUCAGUGUUCUUCAGUGUUCAUGGAACGAAAUCUCUUUCAGAUUUCAGAGCUAGAAAAAAGUUUUUCUCUCCUAUAUGAACUGGUGUAUUUCCUUUAUGAGACUAGGGCUUGUCAAAUUGGACUAACUAUUAGAAUCACCUGGGGAACUUUGAAAACAUGCACGGCUUCCCAGACCCCAAGCCAGACACGCUCACCAGAAUCUCCAGGUUAGGGAGGUUCCAUGUGAUGCUGAUAAUUAACCAUGUUUCAUACACUCUGCAUGGGACAAACAUCUAGUUAAUUCAACAUGUUCACAUUUUGCCUUGACUUCCUGGAAGCUAGUCUUAUAGCAAUUUUUCUUGGAAUCCAAUUUUUAAUAGAAUCAUUGUCCUUUUCUUCCCCCAUUUUAUUACUUGUCUUAUUUAGUAUGUUUUUAAAGAAUUUCAACUUCAGAGGAAAUAAUUUCUAAUAAUACUGUCCUUUGGACCAGCACAUUCCUUGCAAUAGCAUUUAAGCCUAAAAUAAAUUCGUUAUUAGGAUUAAAGAGUGAAAGAAUGUUGUGAGCUUUUAAAAGUUUCAUCGUCCAGAGUUUAUGGAGGAUUCGUGGGAAAUUACUGUUAGAAAAGUGCUCUGAAAACCACUGUUAUUAAAUGCUAUAUAUAUAAAAUUAAGAUCCUGAUCGCCUUUAUAGUCCCUUCGCUACAGGCACCCCCAAGACUAAAUUCGUUGCUCUUCUUUCUUCUAAUUCACCACCUCAAAGAGCUAAUCCAUUUUAGUCGUGGUAACCAUCAUCACCAAAUGUAUACUUGAGCUUGAAUCUUUUGCUGUCUGCAGGGACUCUUCACGUAGCUAUCUCCCAAAGUCCAGACGUCAAUGUGAAGAAACUCAGUAUAUCUAAAACUGAACUCUUCUGCUUACUCCACAAUCCCAUAUUCCUGAUCACCUCUCCUUCCCAACUCACCAUUUGGAUAAGUAGCACCACCAUUCCCCCCAUGUGCCCAGCUGAAUCUGUCCUUGGUCACUCCUAUUUCUUUCAAGCCCCACACCAUUUAGCAAGGCAAUAUUUAUGAUAUAGUUUGAGGAUGUAGAUGCGAUCUGAAGACCAAAGAAAAUGCUGGUGGGUGUGAGAGAUGCCAGGAGUGAUAAACUGCCUAGGAAAUGAAAGGGGCUUGCUUCACAGGAACGAAACCUAUCGUUUCUCUCACAUAGUCUCAGGGACUUAUCCCUUUCUCUUUUCUUCCCUGGCCUGGCGCUCAUUUCCUGAGUUAAAAUAAACUACUAAUUGAUUUCCCAGGAUGUGGCCUAUUCCUGUUUCCAUUCAUCAUGGUGGUGGUGGUGAUGCUUUAGUAAUAUUAUUUGUCCAAUCAAUUCCUCAUCUACAGAAAAAGAAUGAUAAUGGUACCUAACUCAAUGAGUUCUGUAUUAAAUGUUCUUUGUGUUUAUCACAGUGCUUGGUACCCAAUAAAUAUUAGUUGCUAUUAUUUUGUUGUUGUUGUUAACAGAACACAUUCACAUAUUCCCUUAUGAUUAUUUCACUUGGACUUAACACCAAUUAAGCUCCAUAAAGCACCAUAUUUACUUUUUAGUAAAAUCUUACCAUAACUUUUAAAAAUUCACAUUCUUCAUCUUGGGAGUUAACAUUUAAUAAUUGUAAAAUCUUAAACAAGUUAUUUUACUGAGCCUCUGCUUCCUUAUUUGAAGUAGGGAGAACAUUAUGUUCCUGGUUGAUAUGAGAUUAAAAUUAAUAAUGUAUAUAUCAACGGUGUUUGGGGGACCGCAAAGAACUGUACACAUUUUAACUGUUUUCACUCGUGCUGUAAGCUUUGUCUUUGAGCACAAGGGCUGAUGCAAACAAGGAAACAGCUCCAAAGAAUCCUUGGCCACCACCCCAAGACCUUGGUUCUACUAGGCACCGAGCCAUACACCAUUUUUCUGACGGCUACAAGACAUCAUGUCAGCUCCACCAGUCACAAAUUCCCUGAGGUGAAAGUGAUCUACUGGGUGACCUCCCUGGCAGAGAGCAGGAACCAGUCUCUUCAAUGGAUCAGGUUGAGAAUCAUUGCUCUCUGGAAGUUCAGGGUCAUCCUGAACCCCAGCUGUGUCAUCGACCAAGCCCUCCACAGCCUCCACCCUUUUCUGCAGUUUCUUCACCCUCUUGCACCUGGGGCCGCUCUCAGUGGAAACUGAAACCUGCUUCCCCCGGAGCAUCACGAGGCAACUGCUCUCCCGCCCACCCCAGCACGCAGCAGAGCCCAGCGGGGGAGUGGGUGUGCCCAUGCCCCUCCCUGCUGCCGACAGAGAGCUCUCCCCCCUCCCCCCAAAGCCCGCGCUCUUCUGGAAGCCCAUGCCCUCCAACUACACCACCCACUCACUACCCGCGGCCCCGCGACCGUCACCCGCUCACCGGUCUCCUGA